rnacentral:rRNA from 1 species
UCUGCCGUAUCAACUUUCGAUGGUAGUGUAUCUGACUACCAUGGUGAUCACGCGUAACGGAGAAUAAGGGUUCGGCUCCGGAGAGUUCGCCUGAGAAAUCGCGAACACAUCUAAGGAAGGCAGCAGGCGCGAAAAUUACCCACUCUCAGCACGAGGAGGUAGUGACGAAAAAUAACGAGACCGUUCUCUUUGAGGCCGGUCAUCGGAAUGGGUACAAUUUAAACCCUUUAACGAGUAUCUAUGAGAGGGCAAGUCUGGUGCCAGCAGCCGCGGUAAUUCCAGCUCUCAAAGUGCAUAGAAUUAUUGCUGCGGUUAAAAAGCUCGUAGUUGGAUCUGUGCCAUAGGACUGGGUCCACUUUCGGGUGCGUACUCAGCUCCUAGGCUUUUUGAUGGUUUUCCCGUCGUAGCCUUCACUGGUUGCGGCGGGUGGCUGUCGAGUUUACUUUGAGAAAAUCAGAGUGCUCAACACAGGCGUAUCGCUUGAAUGAUUGUGCAUGGAAUAAUAGAAAAGGAUUUCGGUCCUCUUUUAUUGGUUUUGUGGACUGAGAUAAUGGUUAACAGGGACAAACGGGGGCAUUCGUAUCGCUGCGUGAGAGGUGAAAUUCUUGGACCGUAGCGAGACGCCCUACUGCGAAAGCAUUUGCCAAGAAUGUCUUCAUUAAUCAAGAACGAAAGUCAGAG